CAGGCCUAACACAUGCAAGUCGAACGGAAAAUUGAGCUUCGGUUCAAUUUUUAGUGGCGAACGGGUGAGUAACGCGUAGGCAACCUGCCCUUUAGACGGGGACAACAUUCCGAAAGGGAUGCUAAUACCGGAUGUGACGCUCCUAUCGCAUGAGGGGAGCGUGAAAGAUGGCCUCUACAUGUAAGCUAUCGCUAAAGGAUGGGCCUGCGUCUGAUUAGCUAGUUGGUAGUGUAACGGACAACCAAGGCGAUGAUCAGUAGCCGGUCUGAGAGGAUGAACGGCCACAUUGGGACUGAGACACGGCCCAGACUCCUACGGGAGGCAGCAGUGGGGAAUCUUCCGCAAUGGGCGAAAGCCUGACGGAGCAACGCCGCGUGAGUGAAGAAGGUCUUCGGAUUGUAAAGCUCUGUUGUACAUGACGAAUGUGCCGGUUGUGAAUAAUGGCUGGUAAUGACGGUAGUGUACGAGGAAGCCACGGCUAACUACGUGCCAGCAGCCGCGGUAAUACGUAGGUGGCAAGCGUUGUCCGGAAUUAUUGGGCGUAAAGAGCAUGUAGGCGGCCUAUUAAGUCGGGCGUGAAAAUGCGGGGCUCAACCCCGUAUGGCGCCCGAUACUGGUGGGCUUGAGUGC
rnacentral:rRNA from 1 species